GACGAACGCUGGCGGCGUGCUUAACACAUGCAAGUCGAACGGAAAGGCCCUGCUUUUGUGGGGUGCUCGAGUGGCGAACGGGUGAGUAACACGUGAGUAACCUGCCCUUGACUUUUGGAUAACUUCAGGAAACUGGGGCUAAUACCGGAUAGGAGCUCCUGCUGCAUGGUGGGGGUUGGAAAGUUUCGGCGGUUGGGGAUGGACUCGCGGCUUAUCAGCUUGUUGGUGGGGUAGUGGCUUACCAAGGCUUUGACGGGUAGCCGGCCUGAGAGGGUGACCGGCCACAUUGGGACUGAGAUACGGCCCAGACUCUUACGGGAGGCAGCAGUGGGGAAUAUUGCACAAUGGGCGGAAGCCUGAUGCAGCAACGCCGCGUGCGGGAUGACGGCCUUCGGGUUGUAAACCGCUUUCGCCUGUGACGAAGCGUGAGUGACGGUAAUGGGUAAAGAAGCACCGGCUAACUACGUG
rnacentral:rRNA from 1 species